rnacentral:rRNA from 1 species
GUUGAAACCUGGGUCUGCCCCUGUGAAAACAGAUCCCAUUAGAAAUCUGCAGUUAAGAGCACUCGAGAUAGAGUAGUACUAGGAUGGGUGAUCGCUCCGGAAGUCCUAGUGUUUUACAUG